rnacentral:lncRNA from 1 species
AUUUAUAUGGAAUAUUAUACGUUGAGAAAUACGUACACGUGGUAUAUAUAUAUAUAUAUAUAAUUAAGAACUAUAUAUACAAAAUGUUGGAUGCGUUGCAUCACGAAGCAUGACUCUAGAGGAGGAAGGCUGAUCACAACGGCAAGGCCCAGCUACGGGUGGCCCAUUAAUUAGUCUAUCUCUAAUUCUUUUGAGGCUCGACGAAGAACAUGCAUUGCAUAGACCAUCGGUUUCUUUCUUCUCUGAUUGUUCUUUUCAGACGAGAAUAUCCUGCCUAAUUAAUCUCUGAUAAAUGAAAAUAAGUAAUGGUUUAUUCAUCGAAGCAACCGUAUAUAUGUAAGCACCUUAAUUACUUGGCUCUGGAUAAUCGUAUUCAUAUAUCAAUGCUGGCAUUUGUUACAUGUGUAGAUAAAAAGUCUCGAUAGUCCAGCCGCUAACUAUAUACGUUACCUUUAUAUCUGUGGUACAUUAUCUAUAUUAUUCUAAAAGAAGAUAAUAGUGGUGACAACGAAUAUACUCUUCCACCAAUUAUAUUAUUUUAAAAUAGUACUAUAUAUUGGUUAUAUUUUUUAACUGUAAAAAACCAGUUCCAAACAAUACCAGUAUGCAUAUAAUUCAUAUUUAUAUAUAGUAAAGCAUGGUAUUUAGUUAGUAUACUACAGGAAUACAGGAGAAGUAGUAACACAUACUUUCAAUCUGACGAAAUUAUUGGCAAGUUGCAACCGGUUCGGUUAAUCGGAUCGAUGUGCCUAUCUGAUGUCGUCGCGAGAGGCCAAAAACUAUAUUGUUAUAAUAUAUUCUUCUCGCCGACACCGAAGCUGAUAGAGGCGGCCGCGCCAUUGGAGCCGACGCCGCCGCUCUCAGCCUUCUUCUCCGGCAAAGCGUGGAACCCCUCGGAUUUCUCCUCUUUUCCUUCGAGUUUCUCCUUGCGCGGGCGGCAUUUCGCCGAUGCGAGGGGAACGGUGGCGGCGACGGCGAGGAGGAGGACGAUGGCGACGGCGAGCUGCGCCCUCGUCGCGAUCCUUGGAGACGACAUGGUUUGGAUUGGGUGGUGUUUGAAGAUUUUCAAGGGAGGAAGAAAGAGAGGAGGGGUAUUUGAAUAGGGAGGGAAAGAAGAUGAGGUGGCCGUAUUUGGCGGGAAAUGAGAGGUCAGGUUGCUCCCAAACGUUUUUCCGGGGAAAAAAAAGGGGGGCAAUGAUGGCUGGUGGAGAGGAAAUUGAUAUUUACACCAUGAAACCGAGCAGACUCG